GUAAACAUUCCGUUGUGUUGACAAGACACACGUCACAGACUUUCAAUGCAUGACGACAUAAUGAUGCUUUGAUGUUAUAGAUAGCAGGACUGGGAAAGCAAAGUCAUUUGCAUCUUGGUGGAGCAGAUUAAGGAUCGCCACAAGAGUAAGGUCUUCCAGUUGUUAAAAUGUACUGUACAUUGAAGAGAGCAGGUUACUUUUUAAUGGAAGCCAAAAUCAG